UCGAGGACGGAAAGUUUUUGCAUGCAGCCCUUCUUGCGUGUCCGUCCCUCCCUGGGUCCCUGUCGCGCGCGGUGAGGCACCUCUUCGGGCACCCGGGCGGCUUAGUGGGGAGGAGCCGAGCAGUACGCACCUCGCCACCACCCCAAGCCAGGGAGGGGACUCUGGUGACCUCGCCUCCCAGCCACCACCCCCUUCACCGUUCUCGUUCACGGUGGACCUUGCACCGUGGGGGAGUCGGCGGAUUCCUCUGGUAGCUGAGCCCAAUGGGGAGGUGGAAGUGGUUUUAAAAAGCAGGUGAGUUUGGGGCGAGAGGACGUGCUUUCCCGUGUCAGACUGCGGGGCAUGCAAAGCGCAAAACUCAGGGCCGGGCGCCCCCAGACUCCCUGCACGCUACGCGUCCCCGGCUCUCACCGAACCUUUGCGCAGACUUUGCUCCAGGUUCUAUAUAGCGGCGCUAACCCGCUCUCGGAAGAGGAUGCUAGCAGGCCAAGACCCUCGAGCACUUUCCAGUGGGUGAUGGCAUCGCCUUGCGCUUCCUACCUGGAGAGGAUGGCCCGAAAUAGCGGACAAAACCUAUGGCCGAGAAUCCGAUUCCUAGGAGCAUUCCCUUCAGAUUUAACUGUUCCAGCCAGCUAGAAAGCUUCAGAUUUCCUCUGGAUUUGGGAAGUUCCAUGCUUUGUGAUUUCCUCCGUCUUCUUUGGGAACAAGCCAGCUGCCAUGUUGUAAGCUGCUCUGUGGAGAGGUCCAUGUGGCAAGGUACUGAGGAAGGCGUCUAGCCAAUGGCCAGCAAGGAACUGAAUCCUGCCAACAGCCAAAUGAGUGAGCUUACAAACUUAUACUCCUGCAGUUGGGCCUUGAGAUGAAACCACAGCCCUGGCCCACACCUUGAUUGCAACUUUGUGAGAGAUCUUGAGACAGAGGUACCUAGUUACGCCAUGCCUAGAUUCCUGACCCACAAAAACCGUGAGCUAAUUUGUUUGUUUGUUGUUUUAAGUUGUUAUAUUUUGGGGUUACUUGUUAUGCAGCAAUAUUUAACUAAUACAGAAUGGUCUGGGCGUAUGGUGAUUGAACAAAAGAACUUACUAGAAAAAUAAACUUAACAAAGGUAAAGUUCCCUUGUUCCUCUUUUGAGCCUCCUGUGAAUUGUCUGUCAUCCGUCUCAGAAUUUUUUUUUUUGGCAGCUUCGUGAGGCUACUUUACACGAGUAUUUUCUACCCUGGGUUUCGUAAUUUAUCUUUUGGGUACUCAGGGUUUGUGUGUGUGUGUGUGUGUGUGUGUGUGAUAAACGAUAUAUAACAAAACAUUUGACUUUUUAACCAUACAAUUCAGUGACAUUAAUAAUAUGUGCCAUGUUGUGCAACUGAAACUCAGGUACUCAAGUUUUUGCUUUUUAAACUCCAUCACUACUUUGUAGAAAGGGAGUCUCCAAUCACAAGGUCAUUAUAUAACUGUUGGAAAAAACCUUUACUGAUAACGAUGCCCCCACAGUGGUGGCUGUUACAACUUUGUCUUCCUCCAGGUGUCUAGAGAGUCUAGUGAUGAAGGGACUCUUGCCCAAUUACUAGUGGUCAGUGACUUGAGCUUCUGCAAUUCUACUCCUCUCUUGGGAGCCACUAUAAACCAUUCAAAAAACUUAAAGAUGGCUUAUCAUCCUGAUGGCACAACAGUUAAAUGCUCUUUUCCUAACCCAAAGGUUGGUGGUUCAAACCUACCCAGCAGCUCUACAGGAGAAAGACCUGGCAAUCUGCUUAUGUAAAGAUUACAGUCAAGAAAGCCCUUUGGGGCAGACUCUGUUGCACGGGAUUGCUUUGAGUUGGAUCCAACUCCAUGAUAUCCAACAACAACAACACCAGUUACAGAGAAAUAAGAGCUGCUGCCCCUCCAUCUAUUGCGCGAAGACUUCUGCCUGAAACUUCAUCUGGAAAUGGUCACCAGAGGAGAGCAGACACCCCUCUGUUCAGGGGCGACCCUGUAAGACCUUUUUGUUACGCAAAGUAACUGCAAAACCCAGCCUGGUUGGAGGCAAAGCUGCCUUUGCAUGACAAUGUAAAUAGUUGUCUUAAUAGUAAGCAGAGUAGGGUCUCUGCAAAUUAUUUUCUCCAGGAUGUUUUAUUUCUUUUAUUUUGUAAAAGAAACAAUAUUGAAUUUUAAAAGUCAUGCAUGAACUUGUUCUUGUCAUAAGAUUUUAAAAUGAUAGUGAUAAGGUGGAAAUUUCCUUCGAAUAUCCUCUUCAAACCUGGUCCCCUCCCCUACCCCUAGUUUGGCAGCCAUUUUUUUUGUAUAAUUUUUUAUGAAUUUACCUACCAUAUAUACCUGUCAUUGUAGGUGGGGACAAUACUGCUGUGUCUGUGUGUUUUUGUUUUUUCCUUUGUUUUUAUGUGAGUAGCAUUAUUUUGUAGACAUUUUCUGCAACUUUUUCCAUUCAGCAAUGUGUCUUGAACAAAUAUUACAUAUGUAAAUACUUCAUUAUUUUUAACUGCUGCAUAGUAUUCUAUAAAUGUUACAGAAUCUGUUUACCUAUUGCUGUUGUUGUGUGCUGUUGAGUCAAUUCCAACUCAGUGAUCCAGGGUGACAGAAUAGAACCUCCCCAUAGGGCUUUCUAGGCUGUAAUCUUUAUGGGGAGGAGCCCUGAUGGUGCAGUAGUUUAAGCGAUUGGCUGCUUACUGAAAGGUCAGCGGUUUUGAACCCACCAGCAGCUCUUUGAGAGAAAAAUGUAGCAGUCUGCUUCCGUAAAAGUUUAUAGUCUUGGAAACCCUAUGGAGCAGUUCUUCUCUAUCCUGUAGGGUCAUUAUGAGUUGGAAUUGACUCAACAGCAAUGGAUUUUUUUUUUUUUUAAAUAAUCAUUAUGGGAGCAGAUCACCAGGUUUUUUCUCUCAUAGUACUGCUGGUAGAUUCGAACCCCCGACCUUUCAAUUAGCAGCUGGAGUGCCUAACUACCAUGCCACCAGGGUUCCUUAUUCUCUUACUGAUGGGUAUUUAAGUUUCCGUUUUUUUACAAAUGAUAGGGUAGUCAACAUCUUUAUUCUUAUACAUGCCUCCUUGGGCAUAUGAGGAGGGUAUUUCUACCCAGAAGUAGAAUUACUAAAGAGUCUACCAAAUUGUCUUCUGAAGUGCUGACUAAUUUAUACUCCCACUAGCAGUAUAGUAACGUGCCAAUUUCCUCAUGCCGAAAUUAAUGCUGGACCUUCCAGACAUUUUAAUUUUUGCCGAUGUCAUGAUUAAAAACAAAAAACAUUUCAUUUAUUUAAUUUGUACUUCUCUCAUUUCUACUGUAUU